CUUGGUCAUUUAGAGGAAGUAAAAGUCGUAACAAGGUUUCCGUAGCAUAAGGAACGAGAAGAUGAUUCUUCUGCCGGUUUACUUAUAGAAGCCUUAGUAACCCGUCUACACGGGAGGCCACACGACGAUAAAGAAAGUGGCCACAUUACUAGUUGGUAUGAUUACCAGCAACAUAACUAGACUGAAGGGAAUUCUCUGAGAGCCUGCUUAGGAAGCAGGCUCACUGGGUUACCCACAGCGGCUCUCUUACAUAGAAGUCGUCUACAGGCUAAGUGGUUAUGGGCGGGUGCUUAUUUAAGUGCCUGUUUGAGAUAUAGUCGGGCGUAAUAGUCACCUAUUAUGUUGGGGAAAUACCAUAGAUUUGAAGUGAACACAGCAUUGUACUUUGAUGCUGCAGGUCGGCACGAAGAUGUGUUACCAUCUAUGAAACAACCCAUUGACAACCGUUCCGUAGGUGAACCUGCGGAAGGAUCAUUAGAGAGCUUUCUUUGGUGUGAGGCUUGCCUUUCGGGGCUGCCGGGGGCAUCACUGCCCCUGACCCGUGCCUGCCAGGAGCCUUCUUAAAUUCAGUCUUUAACCGUGCUGUCUGAGUCCCAGUAUUAAAAUAUAAAAAACUUUCAACAACGGAUCUCUUGGUUCUGGCAUCGAUGAAGAACGCAGCGAAAUGCGAUAAGUAAUGCGAAUUGCAGAAUUCAGUGAGUCAUCGAAUCUUUGAACGCAUAUUGCGCCCUUUGGUAUUCCAAAGGGCAUGCCUGUUCGAGCGUCAUUAUCAACCAUCAAGCCCGGCUUGUCGUUGGAUCUGACAUCGUUAAAAGAUGGAUCCGAAAGAUAAUGACGGCGUCGCGAUCGGCCCCAGGUGCAACGAGCUUUAGACGGCACGCAUUAUGGAGGUCGGCCGGCCCGGUCUUAACCAUUUCAUCUCUGAAGAUUGACCUCGGAUCAGGUAGGAAUACCCGCUGAACUUAAGCAUAUCAAUAAGCGGAGGA
rnacentral:rRNA from 1 species